GCCCUUAGAGUUUGAUCCUGGCUCAGGACGAACGCUGGCGGCGUGCCUAACACAUGCAAGUCGAACGGGGUUUAGGGGAAAGCUUGCUUUCCCCGAAGACCUAGUGGCGAACGGGUGAGUAACACGUGGGCAACCUACCCAAAAGACCGGGAUAACAGGUCGAAAGGCCUGCUAAUACCGGAUGUACCGCUAAAGGGGCAUCCCUUAAGCGGCAAAGAGGUUUACUGCUUUUGGAUGGGCCCGCGUCCCAUUAGCUAGUUGGUGGAGUAACGGUUCACCAAGGCGACGAUGGGUAGCCGGCCUGAGAGGGUGAUCGGCCACACUGGGACUGACACACGGCCCAGACUCCUACGGGAGGCAGCAGUGGGGAAUAUUGCGCAAUGGGGGCAACCCUGACGCAGCGACGCCGCGUGAGUGAUGAAGGCCUUCGGGUUGUAAAGCUCUGUCAAGGGGGAAGAAUACUGACGGUACCCCUAAAGGAAGCCCCGGCUAACUACGUGCCAGCAGCCGCGGUAAUACGUA
rnacentral:rRNA from 1 species